rnacentral:RNase_P_RNA from 1 species
UAGGUGUAGCGAGUGAUUGCUUGAAAAACUUUUAAGAGGAAAGUCCGGACUACAAUGAGAUGGGAUUCCAUUUAACAAAUGGCUAUCGUAAGAUAAGGGAAAGUGCAACAGAAAGCAAACCGCCAAACUUUUUGGUAAGGGUGAAAGGGCGAGGUAAGAGCUCGCCUUGAUUUUAAGUAAUUCUAAUCAAUGAAAACCCAAUCCGUAGCAAGAAGGGCAGGUUAGAAAUCUCAUAUUUUUAGCCCUUCGCUAGAAAAUUAUUGUGAAAUAAUUUUUAGAUAAAUAAUCACUUAAACAGAAUCCGGCUUAUAGCUACACCUUUGAU